rnacentral:rRNA from 1 species
CCUACGGGUGGCAGCAGUGGGGAAUAUUGGACAAUGGGCGAAAGCCUGAUCCAGCCAUGCCGCGUGUGUGAAGAAGGCCUUCGGGUUGUAAAGCACUUUCAGUGGGGAAGAAAGCCUUGGGGCUAAUACCCUCGAGGAAGGACAUCACCCACAGAAGAAGCACCGGCUAACUCCGUGCCAGCAGCCGCGGUAAUACGGAGGGUGCGAGCGUUAAUCGGAAUUACUGGGCGUAAAGCGCGCGUAGGCGGUCUGAUAAGCCGGUUGUGAAAGCCCCGGGCUCAACCUGGGAACGGCAUCCGGAACUGUCAAGCUAGAGUGCAGGAGAGGAAGGUAGAAUUCCCGGUGUAGCGGUGAAAUGCGUAGAGAUCGGGAGGAAUACCAGUGGCGAAGGCGGCCUUCUGGACUGACACUGACGCUGAGGUGCGAAAGCGUGGGUAGCAAACAGGAUUAGAUACCCCAGUAGUC